ACAAGGGGAGAGCAGGGAGGCUGCCACUGGAGGAUCCCUGGGUUGGGACCCAGGGUAGUUGGUGGGCCUGGGUCCCCGCCAUUCCCUCUUGUACUGCACCUGGCCAUGCGGUGGCUGAGUCAAACUGCAACCGGCCCUUGAGACAAGGGGCUAGACUUUGGGGGUUUUGGUUGGCCACUGAGGCAGGUGCAAGGACUGUUGCUAGCCUGCUUCCCCCCUCCCCGCCAGAAGGAGAUGAGGAUGGAUUAGGGGGCACUGCUGGAGGGAAGUGGCCUGAAGAAGGACACCGUCAACCAGACUAGGCAGAUUGUGCCAUGUGGAGAGACCAAAAUGCUGGAGUAAAGAGACUUCUAUUGGAGGGCCUGGGUGGCUCGGCUUGCCGAACAGCAGAGGGAGUUGUUCUGGCUGCUGUGGAGGUCGGCACCCAGACCGAACAAGAGAUCCGGCACCGAGGGCGAGAGGCCAGGAACGCUGAACUGCUUCGCCUGUAGGUGACAGGGACACUAAAGGAGGGAGUGUCCCUCCUGGGAGGGGGCAGAGAGGCCCCACCCAGAAAAGGCACCCCCUGUGAGAGUAACAGGGGGGGCCCCCAGCUUGUUGGGUCUGUGGGGAGCCAGGGCACCUGAAGAGAGAGUGCCCCUACAGGACUCCCAAGGCCCGGGCCAGCCCAGAAGGAAGGGCUAGGGCCCAAACAAGCAGGAGUAGGGAUGUGGCAGGGGGAAGACCCAGAAAGUGCUUCCACUGCCACCAACGGGGACAUCUAAAGAGGCACUGCCCCCUGAGGCAGAAAGGGGGAGUGUCUGAGACAAGGGCUCGGUCAGAGACUAGCCACAGAAAAGAGGUGGUGAAGACGGAGGCCCCCAGAGAGAAAGGGGCUGGGGCAGAGAGGCCCUACCGAAAUGAGGGAACCCACAUAGGAGCCAGGAGGGCCCAUGUAGGAACCCAAACAGAAGUAGGAACCCAAGUAGGACCAGGACGUUCAACAGUGGGAACCCAGACCCUACAGCUGGUAAGCCGCUGGCUCCAGACUUUGGAGGGCCUGUGAGAGGAAAGGGAUGCCCUGCAGGCCCCACUAUGAAGGAAGCUGGGGUGAUAGGGACCCCUUUCCUCCCCUCCCCCGUGAGCAUUUUUUAAGGGGGAGGGUUUGUGGUGGGACAGCUACCCCACCCCCAUGUGAGAGGGAACUAGAGUAGGCCAGAAUGGCUGUGCAAGCCGUCUUCCAAUCAGGGAAGGGCCUAGUGAGAGCCAAUCAGGGCCGAGAUUAGAGCCAGCCAAUCAGGGCUAGGCUAGGCCCUAUAUAAUGGCUGCCCAGGAGAGCAGCGGGUAGUCUGUCCCAGAAUUUCAUGGGGGAAGGUCUGUCUCCAGAGCAGAAGACCAGCAUCUCGGGCUGGGCAAUACUGCAUCUGGCCAUCCGAUGGCCGAGACAAAUUGUAACCGGCCCUUGAGACAAGGGGCUAGACUUUGGGGGUUGCGGUUGGCUACCGAGGCAGGUGCAAGGACUGUUGCUAACCCCCGCCCCUGGAAUGGGGUGAGGAUGGACUAGUGGGCACUGCUGGAGGCAGUGUCAAGAGGUGAGCAACGUGGCUCCAGAUCCCAACGGAGGAAAAGGGACGGAUGGGACGCUGCCAGCAGAGGGCAUUCCCCAUGGACUGAGCUAAUUCCCAGAGCGACCAGCGGGAGGCGCAAUGCUGGAAUAGGAGCCUCCUUCCAGCUCUCUUCCAGGCCCUGGGAUCUGGCACAGCCUCCCAGACGGGCGCUUCCUGUAGCUGAGCCACGUCAGGGAGCAGCGGGGACAGGUCACCUCGUCCCAGCAAUGCCGGCUCUCAAAGAGGCUUAGAUGGAAGACCCCAGUCCCUCAUUGAGAGGUGGUGUCCAGGAUCCUGGAGACUGUUUCCUGCUGCAGGAGGUUUGUGCGGGGAGAGAUCACUCACUGUCACGCCCCAGGGGUCUCCAACCCGGGUCUGCAGGGUUCAUGGGAGCAGCCACACUCCAACCCUCCACCUGGAAGCCUGCUGAAAAUUGCUUACCUCGGACCCAUGAAGUUCAGCCCCAGUUUGAGGCUCCACUCCUGAGGUCCUAUUGGAGGAGUCCCAGGAAAGCUCACUGGCCCCCUGGCCCUGCGUAAGACAGCAGCAGGAACACGAAGCUGACUGAACACCAGGCCUGCUCCCGGUUCUGGACCGUGCGCUGCCUGGUUCUGCUGCCGCUCCCCUGGCUUGAUUUCCUGGCAUCUGAGUUGUGGUGGUGAUAGCAAGUUUGUCUUUUGCUGCUGAUCUUCCAGUAUCCUGACCUGGCUGACUCUCAGCUCCUGUCAUGUGAGUGUGGACUCUGGCUCUGACCAGUAGGUCUGGCUGCACUUGACCUAGCCAUGACAUUGACUUUGGUACAACUUCUCCAUUGCCCCUUUCUGAUCUCCAGCAAGAUACACCAGUCCCUUGGCUCCCAAAGUCCCAGUUGCCCGCUAUUCAAGGGCUGAGGGGUAGUGCUUGUAUCGCCCCACCCCAGCUGCUUUUCCUAGGGGAAUCUCCCUAGAGCAGAGGAGAAAUCUGCUCUUUUCUUAGGAUCAGUCCCACUCUGGCCUCAGCUCAGCUACUUUGUUUACCUGGGGUCAGGCACCACUUUUGAAGCCCUUAGCGUGGGGGUGGAGGUGGGAGCAGAGGCUGAAGCUCCAGCAGUUUCCACCAAAGAACACCCCCCUGUCUUUCUAUGGUCCGGCUAGGGCCCCCCAUCCAUCCUGGAGCUGAACACCAGAUGGGAGCUGAUGGAUUGUCCUUGGUGGGCCAUGUUCUUGUGUGUGAUGAGAGGUCCAGGAGCAGAUGCACCACGCCUGGCCAGGACCAGGCUAAACAGCCUGUAAUGCUAGACAGUCAGCCAGUGAGGCCAGUUUGUAGAAUGUGGAAGAGCCCUUUGGCGAGGCAUUGGAGGAUUCACCAUGAAGGUGGCAGCAGCGGCAGUGCCUGGGGUCCCUAUGGGCCAAGCCUCAACUCCUGCCAAUCCAGGCUAAUCUCCCCCUGCUUUCAGCAGCGCUUGGCUUUAGCUGCUGGGCCUGUGAGCCUAGACCAGGGGUCUCAAACUCAAAUGACCACGAGGGCCGGCUGAGGACUAGUUCAUUGGCCCGA